rnacentral:rRNA from 1 species
GACGAACGCUGGCGGCGUGCUUAACACAUGCAAGUCGAACGGAAAGGCCCUGCUUGCCGGGUACUCGAGUGGCGAACGGGUGAGUAACACGUGGGUGAUCUGCCCUGCACUUCGGGAUAAGCCUGGGUAACUGGGUCUAAUACCGGUUAGCAGCCAUUUUUAGUGUGAUGGUUGGACAGUUUUUUCGGUGUAGGAUGAGCUCGCGGCCUAUCAGCUUGUUGGUGGGGGAAUGGCCUACCAAGGCGGCGACGGGUAGCCGGCCGGAGAGGGUGGACGGCAACAGUGGGACUGGGAGACGGCCCAGACGCCUACGGGGGGCAGCAGUGGGGAAUAGUGCACAAGGGGCGCAAGCCGGAUGCAGCGACGCCGCGGGGGGUAUGACGGCCUUCGGGUUGUAAACGCCUUUCGCUAGGGACGAAGCUUUUUGUGACGGUACCUAGAUAAGAAGCACCGGCUAACUACGUG